rnacentral:tRNA from 1 species
GCCUUCGGGGUGUAACGGUAGCACAUUCGGCCAGUAUUCGAGAGACACGGGUUCGAGUCCCGGAGAGAGCA